UACGUAGGGGGCAAGCGUUGUCCGGAAUCAUUGGGCGUAAAGAGCGUGUAGGCGGCCAGAAAAGUCCGCUGUGAAAACUCGAGGCUCAACUUCGAGCUGUCGGUGGAAACUUUCUGGCUAGAGUCCGGAAGAGGAGAAUGGAAUUCCUGGUGUAGCGGUGAAAUGCGCAGAUAUCGAGGAAGAACACCCGUGGCGAAGGCGGUUCUCUGGGACGGUACUGACGCU
rnacentral:rRNA from 1 species